rnacentral:rRNA from 1 species
GACGAACGCUGGCGGCGUGCUUAACACAUGCAAGUCGAACGGAAAGACCCUGCUUUUGUGGGGUGCUCGAGUGGCGAACGGGUGAGUAACACGUGAGUAACCUGCCCUUGACUUUGGGAUAACUUCAGGAAACUGGGGCUAAUACCGGAUAGGAGCUCCUGCUGCAUGGUGGGGGUUGGAAAGUUUCGGCGGUUGGGGAUGGACUCGCGGCUUAUCAGCUUGUUGGUGGGGUAGUGGCUUACCAAGGCUUUGACGGGUAGCCGGCCUGAGAGGGUGACCGGCCACAUUGGGACUGAGACACGGCCCAGACUCCUACGGGAGGCAGCAGUGGGGAAUAUUGCACAAUGGGCGGAAGCCUGAUGCAGCAACGCCGCGUGCGGGAUGACGGCCUUCGGGUUGUAAACCGCUUUCGCCUGUGACGAAGCGUGAGUGACGGUAAUGGGUAAAGAAGCACCGGCUAACUACGUG